CGAAUGACGCAGUCUGACCAGCCAUGCCGCGUGAGUGAUGAAGGCCCUAUGGGUCGUAAACUUCUUUUAUUAGGGAAAAAAAAAUGGGAUGCGUCCUAUACUGACGGUACUUAAUGAAUAAGGAUCGGCUAACUUCAUGCCAGCAGCCGCGGUAAUAAGU
rnacentral:rRNA from 1 species